GUGUCAGCCGCCGCGGUAAUACGGAGGGGGCUAGCGUUGUUCGGAAUUACUGGGCGUAAAGCGUACGUAGGCGGCUUUCUAAGUCAGAGGUGAAAUCCCACGACUCAAUCGUGGAACUGCCUUUGAGACUGGAUCGCUUGAAGAUGGGAGAGGUAAGUGGAAUUCCGAGUGUAGAGGUGAAAUUCGUAGAUAUUCGGAAGAACACCAGUGGCGAAGGCGGCUUACUGGACCAUUCUUGACGCUGAGGUACGAAAGCGUGGGGAGCAAACAGGAUUAGAUACCCUGGUAGUCCACGCCGUAAACGAUGAUAACUAGCUGUCGGGGCUCUUAGAGCUUCGGUGGCGCAGCUAACGCAUUAAGUUAUCCGCCUGGGGAGUACGGCCGCAAGGUUAAAACUCAAAGAAAUUGACGG
rnacentral:rRNA from 1 species